GUGAGUUUGAAUCUGGCUCAGUAUGAACGCUGGCGGCAGGCUUAACACAUGCAAGUCGAGCGGUAGCACAGGGGAGCUUGCUCCCUGGGUGACGAGCGGCGGACGGGUGAGUAAUGUCUGGGAAACUGCCUGAUGGAGGGGGAUAACUACUGGAAACGGUAGCUAAUACCGCAUAACGUCGCAAGACCAAAGAGGGGGACCUUCGGGCCUCUUGCCAUCAGAUGUGCCCAGAUGGGAUUAGCUAGUAGGUGGGGUAAUGGCUCACCUAGGCGACGAUCCCUAGCUGGUCUGAGAGGAUGACCAGCCACACUGGAACUGAGACACGGUCCAGACUCCUAGGGGAAAGG
rnacentral:rRNA from 1 species